rnacentral:rRNA from 1 species
AACGGCGAGUGAAGCGGGAAGAGCUCAAAUUUGAAAUCUUCAAGGUUCUACCUUGACGAAUUGUAGUUUAAAGAAGUGUUUUCUGUUAGAUGAGUAGCAAAAGUUCCUUGGAAUGGGACAUCAUAGAGGGUGAGAAUCCCGUAUUUGGUUAUUCAUUCUAGCUUUGUGAUACACUUUCAAAGAGUCGGAUUGUUUGGGAAUGCAGUCCAAAAUGGGUGGUAAAUUUCAUCUAAAGCUAAAUAUUGGCGAGAGACCGAUAGCGAACAAGUACCGUGAGGGAAAGAUGAAAAGAACUUUGAAAAGAGAGUUAAACAGUACGUGAAAUUGUCAAAAGGGAAGCGUUUGACACCAGUGUUGUUUUUCCGAAAAUCAAUUACGAAUGGCUUGAUUUUGUGUUGUAUUGACCUUAUCAGCUUUCUUCACUUUUUUCGAGUCUUUCUUAAUGCACUUUUCGGUUAACAAGUCAACAUCAAUUUCUUUUGUUGUAAAAGAGUAUUCGGAAGGUGGCUUUCUUUUCGGAGAAAGUGUUUAUAGCCCUAUACUUCUACAAUCGGAGAGAUUGAGGUCUGCAGCGUAGAUCCUUCGGGGUUAGAUACAUUUGUGCUAAGUUGUAGCUUUUCAUAGACAACUUGUUGACUAUGUUUAGUCAUGCGGCUUACUCGCUUAUGCUAUUUACCUAC